UUCCAGACUCCUACGGGAGGCAGCAGUGGGGGAUAUUGCACAAUGGGGGGAACCCUGAUGCAGCGACGCCGCGUGGGUGAAGGAGUGCUUCGGCAUGUAAAGCCCUAUCGGCAGGGAAGAAGCAAGACGGUACCUGACUAAGAAGCCCCGGCUAACUACGUGCCAGCAGCCGCGGUAAUACGUAGGGGGCGAGCGUUAUCCGGAUUCACUGGGUGUAAAGGGAGCGUAGACGGCCAUGCAAGCCAGGGGUGAAAGCCCGGGGCCCAACCCCGGGACUGCCCUUGGAACUGUGCGGCUAGAGUGCGGGAGGGGCAGGCGGAAUUCCUGGUGUAGCGGUGAAAUGCGUAGAUAUUAGGAGGAACACCAGUGGCGAAGGCGGCUUACUGGACUGUAACUGACGUUGAGGCUCGAAAGCGUGGGGAGCAAACAGGAUUAGAUACCCUUGUAU
rnacentral:rRNA from 1 species